rnacentral:lncRNA from 1 species
UGAAGUGUUAUAUUUUGUUUUUAUGCAAUUUUAUAUAGAUGUUCAUGUUUUGCAUUUCGUAGUUUACCCCUUGUAUAUGACAUGUGUGUAAAUACUAUUGAUACCAAUUUCUUUCAUUUGAGCUAGUUAGAGGAUUGUAGAAGCCUACAAUUAGGUGUGAGAGUUUGGGUUUCAGUAGAAAGUUGUGGGUGAGUUUGAGACAAGUGGGGGAGAAGGUUAUAUUCCCCUGAGAUGUUUAAGUGUAACAAAGCAAGAUAGAUAGAGAUACCCAAGGGAGAGUAUUCUUGUGUUAGUGAUGUUUGCUUCAAAGUUGAGUGAACUGGAAGAUGUGUUAGAAGAAGAAGUUUGUCGGAUCGGUUAUUUCACUGUGGA